rnacentral:rRNA from 1 species
GAUGAACGCUGGCGGCGUGCUUAACACAUGCAAGUCGAACGAUGAAGCCCUGCUUGCUGGGUGGGUUUGUGGCGAACGGGUGUGUAACACGUGAGUAACCUGCCCUUAACUCUGGGAUAAGCCUGGGAAACUGGGUCUAAUACCGGAUAGGAGCGCCUACCGCAUGGUGGGUGUUGGAACGCUUUAUCGGUUUUGGAUGGACUCGCGGCCUAUCAGCUUGUUGGUGAGGUAAUGGCUCACCAAGGCGACGACGGGUAGCCGGCCUGAGAGGGUGACCGGCCACACUGGGACUGAGACACGGCCCAGACUCCUACGGGAGGCAGCAGUGGGGAAUAUUGCACAAUGGGCGAAAGCCUGAUGCAGCGACGCCGCGUGGGGGAUGACGGCCUUCGGGUGGUAAACCUCUUUCGGUAGGGAAGAAGCGAAAGUGACGGUACCUGCAGAAGAAGCACCGGCUAACUACGUG